GCAUCCAUGCUGUCGGCUAGUGUAAACACAGGUCGCACACGUGAUAUGACAGCAUUUUUGUGUCGCGGAAAGUGACGUUGCGGAGCUUAAAACUCCGGUUUUGUCUGUCCACACGCAGACACCCAAAAUGGAGAAAAUGCAGAUCUUCACUUUGGCCGGAGUUUUUAAAAAGCUCAGUUUUUGUGUGAAAAAACUCUGUUUUCGUGUGGAUGACAGGCCAAAACGUAGAAAAAUAUCUAUGUUUUGGCAGAUCCCCGGCUACAUGUGGACAGGGCCUUAAUCAUCCUUAAAGGAGACCUGGUAUUCUUCAGUUUUGUGUUACAGGUGGGCGUGUCAGUGAGCUCCAGCUGAUCCUGAUCUCGCUAAUCAGAGGGCCAGGGGAUAUAAGGAGCGGUGUGACACAACUCCAGUGCCGGUCGAUACUCUCACCAAGGGCAGCUUUCAGCCUAGUCUAGAUUUCUGUAUUCCUGCAAAAUGCUCCUGUAAGAUCCUGUUGUUCUUGUCUCCACUUACCUCACCUUGAAUCACCCACCUACGCCUGGAGUUGUACUCGAGGUCACGUUGUUCAGGAUCCUCUGGCCUCCGCUCACCACCGCCUGCCUGUCUUCCAACCUACAUCUUGGACACCUACUACCGUCUCCUGUUCAGCUCCACCUCAUCCAUCGGUUCCGCCGCCUCUUCACUACUAGACCUGACCCAGUUCACCAUCACCGAACCCUGGUCUCUGACCAUACCGGUUCCUUCCUGUUCCCGUUUUGGAGCAGCACCUUUAGUUCUCCCUUUUCAUCAUUUAAAUAAACAAUUGUAUCAUUUUUAUCAUUUUUA